GGGUUGUGAGGUUAAGCGACUAAGCGUACACGGUGGAUGCCCUGGCAGUCAGAGGCGAUGAAGGACGUGCUAAUCUGCGAUAAGCGUCGGUAAGGUGAUAUGAACCGUUAUAACCGGCGAUUUCCGAAUGGGGAAACCCAGUGUGAUUCGUCACACUAUCAUUAACUGAAUCCAUAGGUUAAUGAGGCGAACCGGGGGAACUGAAACAUCUAAGUACCCCGAGGAAAAGAAAUCAACCGAGAUUCCCCCAGUAGCGGCGAGCGAACGGGGAGCAGCCCAGAGCCUGAAUCAGUGUGUGUGUUAGUGGAAGCGUCUGGAAAGGCGCGCGAUACAGGGUGACAGCCCCGUACACAAAAAUACACAUACUGUGAGCUCGAUGAGUAGGGCGGGACACGUGGUAUCCUGUCUGAAUAUGGGGGGACCAUCCUCCAAGGCUAAAUACUCCUGACUGACCGAUAGUGAACCAGUACCGUGAGGGAAAGGCGAAAAGAACCCCGGCGAGGGGAGUGAAAAAGAACCUGAAACCGUGUACGUACAAGCAGUGGGAGCACGCUUAGGCGUGUGACUGCGUACCUUUUGUAUAAUGGGUCAGCGACUUAUAUUCUGUAGCAAGGUUAACCGAAUAGGGGAGCCGAAGGGAAACCGAGUCUUAACUGGGCGUUAAGUUGCAGGGUAUAGACCCGAAACCCGGUGAUCUAGCCAUGGGCAGGUUGAAGGUUGGGUAACACUAACUGGAGGACCGAACCGACUAAUGUUGAAAAAUUAGCGGAUGACUUGUGGCUGGGGGUGAAAGGCCAAUCAAACCGGGAGAUAGCUGGUUCUCCCCGAAAGCUAUUUAGGUAGCGCCUCGUGAAUUCAUCUCCGGGGGUAGAGCACUGUUUCGGCAAGGGGGUCAUCCCGACUUACCAACCCGAUGCAAACUGCGAAUACCGGAGAAUGUUAUCACGGGAGACACACGGCGGGUGCUAACGUCCGUCGUGAAGAGGGAAACAACCCAGACCGCCAGCUAAGGUCCCAAAGUCAUGGUUAAGUGGGAAACGAUGUGGGAAGGCCCAGACAGCCAGGAUGUUGGCUUAGAAGCAGCCAUCAUUUAAAGAAAGCGUAAUAGCUCACUGGUCGAGUCGGCCUGCGCGGAAGAUGUAACGGGGCUAAACCAUGCACCGAAGCUGCGGCAGCGACACUAUGUGUUGUUGGGUAGGGGAGCGUUCUGUAAGCCUGUGAAGGUGUACUGUGAGGUAUGCUGGAGGUAUCAGAAGUGCGAAUGCUGACAUAAGUAACGAUAAAGCGGGUGAAAAGCCCGCUCGCCGGAAGACCAAGGGUUCCUGUCCAACGUUAAUCGGGGCAGGGUGAGUCGACCCCUAAGGCGAGGCCGAAAGGCGUAGUCGAUGGGAAACAGGUUAAUAUUCCUGUACUUGGUGUUACUGCGAAGGGGGGACGGAGAAGGCUAUGUUGGCCGGGCGACGGUUGUCCCGGUUUAAGCGUGUAGGCUGGUUUUCCAGGCAAAUCCGGAAAAUCAAGGCUGAGGCGUGAUGACGAGGCACUACGGUGCUGAAGCAACAAAUGCCCUGCUUCCAGGAAAAGCCUCUAAGCAUCAGGUAACAUCAAAUCGUACCCCAAACCGACACAGGUGGUCAGGUAGAGAAUACCAAGGCGCUUGAGAGAACUCGGGUGAAGGAACUAGGCAAAAUGGUGCCGUAACUUCGGGAGAAGGCACGCUGAUAUGUAGGUGAAGUCCCUCGCGGAUGGAGCUGAAAUCAGUCGAAGAUACCAGCUGGCUGCAACUGUUUAUUAAAAACACAGCACUGUGCAAACACGAAAGUGGACGUAUACGGUGUGACGCCUGCCCGGUGCCGGAAGGUUAAUUGAUGGGGUCAGCGCAAGCGAAGCUCUUGAUCGAAGCCCCGGUAAACGGCGGCCGUAACUAUAACGGUCCUAAGGUAGCGAAAUUCCUUGUCGGGUAAGUUCCGACCUGCACGAAUGGCGUAAUGAUGGCCAGGCUGUCUCCACCCGAGACUCAGUGAAAUUGAACUCGCUGUGAAGAUGCAGUGUACCCGCGGCAAGACGGAAAGACCCCGUGAACCUUUACUAUAGCUUGACACUGAACAUUGAGCCUUGAUGUGUAGGAUAGGUGGGAGGCUUGGAAGUGUGGACGCCAGUCUGCAUGGAGCCGACCUUGAAAUACCACCCUUUAAUGUUUGAUGUUCUAACGUUGACCCGUAAUCCGGGUUGCGGACAGUGUCUGGUGGGUAGUUUGACUGGGGCGGUCUCCUCCUAAAGAGUAACGGAGGAGCACGAAGGUUGGCUAAUCCUGGUCGGACAUCAGGAGGUUAGUGCAAUGGCAUAAGCCAGCUUGACUGCGAGCGUGACGGCGCGAGCAGGUGCGAAAGCAGGUCAUAGUGAUCCGGUGGUUCUGAAUGGAAGGGCCAUCGCUCAACGGAUAAAAGGUACUCCGGGGAUAACAGGCUGAUACCGCCCAAGAGUUCAUAUCGACGGCGGUGUUUGGCACCUCGAUGUCGGCUCAUCACAUCCUGGGGCUGAAGUAGGUCCCAAGGGUAUGGCUGUUCGCCAUUUAAAGUGGUACGCGAGCUGGGUUUAGAACGUCGUGAGACAGUUCGGUCCCUAUCUGCCGUGGGCGCUGGAGAACUGAGGGGGGCUGCUCCUAGUACGAGAGGACCGGAGUGGACGCAUCACUGGUGUUCGGGUUGUCAUGCCAAUGGCACUGCCCGGUAGCUAAAUGCGGAAGAGAUAAGUGCUGAAAGCAUCUAAGCACGAAACUUGCCCCGAGAUGAGUUCUCCCUGACUCCUUGAGAGUCCUGAAGGAACGUUGAAGACGACGACGUUGAUAGGCCGGGUGUGUAAGCGCAGCGAUGCGUUGAGCUAACCGGUACUAAUGAACCGUGAGGCUUAACCUUACAACGCCGAAG
rnacentral:rRNA from 1 species